rnacentral:rRNA from 1 species
AAGCGCCUACGGGAGGCAGCAGUGGGGAAUAUUGGGCAAUGGGCGCAAGCCUGACCCAGCAACGCCGCGUGAAGGAAGAAGGCUUUCGGGUUGUAAACUUCUUUUCUCAGGGACGAAGCAAGUGACGGUACCUGAGGAAUAAGCCACGGCUAACUACGUGCCAGCAGCCGCGGUAAUACGUAGGUGGCAAGCGUUAUCCGGAUUUACUGGGUGUAAAGGGCGUGUAGGCGGGAAAGCAAGUCAGAUGUGCAAACCAUGGGCUCAACCUGUGGCCUGCAUUUGUAACUAUUUUUCUUGUGUACUGG